rnacentral:rRNA from 1 species
UGCGUAGGCGGACUAAUAAGUCAGUGGUGAAAUCUUUCGGCUCAACCGAGAGACUGCCAUUGAUACUGUUAGUCUUGAGUUCGGUUGAGGUAGGCGGAAUGUGUAAUGUAGCGGUGAAAUGCUUAGAUAUUACACAGAACACCAAUUGCGUAGGCAGCUUACUAGACCGACACUGACGCUGAGGCACGAAAGCGUGGGGAGCGAACAGGAUUGGAUACCCUGGUAGUCC